rnacentral:rRNA from 1 species
GAACGGGUGAGUAAUACAUAAGUAACCUGCCCUAGACAGGGGGAUAACUAUUGGAAACGAUAGCUAAGACCGCAUAGGUACGGACACUGCAUGGUGACCGUAUUAAAAGUGCCUCAAAGCACUGGUAGAGGAUGGACUUAUGGCGCAUUAGCUGGUUGGCGGGGUAACGGCCCACCAAGGCGACGAUGCGUAGCCGACCUGAGAGGGUGACCGGCCACACUGGGACUGAGACACGGCCCAGACUCCUACGGGAGGCAGCAGUAGGGAAUUUUCGGCAAUGGGGGAAACCCUGACCGAGCAACGCCGCGUGAAGGAAGAAGGUUUUCGGAUUGUAAACUUCUGUUAUAAAGGAAGAACGGCGGCUACAGGAAAUGGUAGCCGAGUGACGGUACUUUAUUAGAAAGCCACGGCUAACUACGUGCCAGCAGCCGCGGUAAUACGUAGGUGGCAAGCGUUAUCCGGAAUUAUUGGGCGUAAAGAGGGAGCAGGCGGCAGCAAGGGUCUGUGGUGAAAGCCUGAAGCUUAACUUCAGUAAGCCAUAGAAACCAGGCAGCUAGAGUGCAGGAGAGGAUCGUGGAAUUCCAUGUGUAGCGGUGAAAUGCGUAGAUAUAUGGAGGAACACCAGUGGCGAAGGCGACGAUCUGGCCUGCAACUGA